rnacentral:rRNA from 1 species
GACGAACGCUGGCGGCGUGCCUAACACAAGCAAGUCGAACGGAAAGGCCCUGCUUUUGUGGGGUGCUCGAGUGGCGAACGGAUGAGUAACACGUGAGUAACCUGCCUUUGACUUUGGGAUAACUUCAGGAAACUGGGGCUAAUACCGGCUAGGAGCUCCUGCUGCAUGGUGGGGGUAGGAAAGUUUCGGCGGUUGGGGACGGACUCGCGGCUUAUCAGCUUGUUGGUGGGGUAGUGGCUUACUAAGGCUUUGACGGGUAGCCGGCCUGAGGGGGUGACCGGCCACAUUGGGACUGAGAUACGGCCCAGACUCCUUCGGGAGGCAGCAGUGGGGAAUAUUGCACAAUGGGCGGAAGCCUGAUGCAGCAACGCCGCGUGCGGGAUGACGGCCUUCGGGUUGUAAACCGCUUUCGCCUGUGACGAAGCGUGAGUGACGGUAAUGGGUAAAGAAGCACCGGCUAACUACGUG